ensembl:snoRNA small nucleolar RNA SNORA17
ACUGCCCCUAGAGGCGUUGCAGGUGUGGCUGCCAUGCCCGCCUGCGUCAUUAGGUGGCAGAGAGCAGAGAGGCUCGCCUACACCCAGCGUCCUGGCCGUGGGCACCUGGAUGGUUGACAACCUGACACG